rnacentral:rRNA from 1 species
UACGUAGGGUGCAAGCGUUAAUCGGAAUUACUGGGCGUAAAGGGCGCGCAGGCGGCUCUGAAAGUCAGAUGUGAAAGCCCCGGGCUUAACCUGGGAAUUGCAUUUGAUACUCUGGAGCUUGAGUACGGGAGAGGAGAGUGGAAUUCCCAGUGUAGAGGUGAAAUUCGUAGAUAUUGGGAAGAACACCGGUGGCGAAGGCGGCUCUCUGGACCGUAACUGACGCUGAGGCGCGAAAGCGUGGGGAGCAAACAGGG